rnacentral:sRNA from 1 species
UCCCUACACAAGACGUAAGAGAAAUGGGC